UAAAAGUCUUUACUUUCACUUUGGAUCAAUUUAACGCAUCCUUGCUGAAUAAAAGUAGCAUAUCAAUUUCUUAAAAAAAAAUUCUGACCCCUAGCCUAUAUGUUGUUUACACUUUGUAUAUAAACAUCAGACUACUAAAACGCUCUCAUCAGUAACAUAAGAACAUUGUGAUCUCAGAUGAGUCAUGUGAUUGUUAAUGAGUUUCUUCCUGUGUACAGUUUGAACCGUCACGUCUGCUGCUCAGCACGGGCUGCGCGUGUUAGACGUGCUUUCCCAACACUGUCUGUGCAUCUAGGGAAGAAAGCAUGGCACAUAUCACAGCGAAACGGGUCAAAAGUAUCUGAUGCAGCCGUGUCCUCGGAGUCACAACCACUACAGCAUGCAUAGAGUGAGUCCUGUUACCCAGCAUGCCCUGUCACCUCAUACGCAAGCAGCCUCCCCAGAGGCACAGCAUUGAUGAUUUUUACUCCGUUUUAAGGAGGUGCUGGAGUUGGGAUGUUACUGAAAGUGAAAGGUUUCCUCACUGUCUUUGUGAAAUUUGGCAGACAAGCUUCCUCGUUUCUCCAGCAGCCCAUGCAGUCAUUCACCACUCACAUGAAGCAACUUGGACAAAAGUUGCAUCUCCUCUCCAGCCUCAUGAAUAUUCAGGUGAAGUGGGCGUCGACAGGCGACCGCUGGCCUUAAAUAGACAGAGCAUCUGUACCUCCAGCACCCACCAAAAGAAACUCUGAGGAUAAACCUUAACAAGGACUUAUCAUCUGAGCGGGUUCUGCAACAAUUACAAGUGAGUAGAUGUUUUGCUUAUUAAUGUUUUUUUUUUUUUUUUGCUUAGAUGCUGUAAAAUUUAACGUACACUUUAAAAAUUAUUCAAAUUUAAACUUUAAGAGACUAUUAACCAGUUAUUUAUUUAUUUAUUUAUUUAUUUAUUUAACAAUAAUUUCCUUUAUUCUAUAUGGUGAAAAACUGUGAAAGACUGAAUGGACUUUUUAUGCAAUAUUACAGUAAAAAUCCUGAUAAAUGUAUUUGACACUUUUUGAAGUGAAAAAGAAAAAGUCACAGCUCACAUUUAAUAGUUUUCAUUGAUAUAAUCAUGUAAGACACAUGCUGUUAAAUUAAUAACUAAGGUUGAACCUUCUAUAUAUUAAUAUUUACCAGUGUUAUUUUAGUAUAAUUGAGAUACUAGUUUUUUUUGUAAUAUUUUAAAUCAGUUUUUAUAUUGUCUGUUGUCAUUUUGUUUUUAAAAUAUCCUAGAUAUAAUUUUAGAUUAUAUCUAAUAUGUAUUAUUUAAAUAUUAUUCUAGAUUUAUAUUAUAUAUUUUAUGUAAAUCGUUUUUAUUCAUUUUUAUUUGGGGUUUAGUUUGAAUCAUUUUACUACAUCAAGUUCAACUACAUUAAACUAAGAAAUGUUGUUUUGGAAAGGUUAUUUAUUUUACCUUAUUUCAGUCAACAUUUAUUUUAUUUUAUGAAACGGAUCCUUGAUUCUGAUUGGUUGAGCCACAUUCGAAGCUGUUGUAAAUUACACUACAAACAUACACCUUUGUUUAUUUUGUUGCAACCACAACUGUUUCUGAGGAACUAUAUUGUUUGGUGGAAAAAUACUGUUUUCAUUAAUAUCACUUUAUAUGCUCUGUUUUAUUCUGUGAAACCUUACUACGUAUAUGGAAUAACUGUUUUAUAAAAGCAAUAAGCCUCGUGAAGCCGUGGUUUACAGUGAAUUUAUAACAGCUAAGUGCCUAACAACGCCCCUUAGCUGUUAUAAAUUCACUGUAAACCACGGCUUCUUGGGGCUUAUUGCUUUAUCACAUAAUUUUUAUGGUUUUGAUUAUAGUUUCAGUUUUAGUUAGCUAUAGCAACCCUAAUAUUUAUCUCAGCUUCAUCAUGCAUAAUUUGAAAAAUAUUGGAAUUAAAUACCCCACUGAAAUAUGGAAAUAAAGUGAUUUAUGAACAGCA
ensembl:lncRNA